CGGGGCGCGGCUGGAUGUGCGCUAUGCGUGGGGCCGCCUGCCCGUGGACCUGGCUGAGGAGCGGGGCCACCGCGACGUCGCCCGGUACCUGCGCGCGGUCGCGGAAGGCGGGGGCCGUGCCCACCCAGGCGCUACCGUGUAAGGCCCCCCAGAUUUCUCCAACUUAAAUUGUCCUGAGACCCUGAGACUUGGAGACAAUCAGCAAAGCUUGACUACAACACACCCAGCCCACCCAGUUUUUCCCUGCCUUCAUAGUCCCCCCUCUAAAAUAGUUCCACCCACUUCCCUGAAACUUCCUUCCGUUGUAGUCCAAUUUAUAUGCUAUUAUUAAAAAAAAAAGUGAACAAAACCCA